AUACGGCCACAUCACGUUGAAACAUCGGUUCUCGUAAGAUCAUCAAAAUUAAGGGACGUUGAGCUUGGUCAGUACCUUGAUGGGUGACCGCUGGCGAAUACCAGGUUCUGUAAG